UGAACGUACAACUCCAGCCCUCUCUCUUCUCCUGCUUAGUAAAGAUUGUGGAAUCCCAGCAAGGAAGGGAUAUGGGAUCCGGCUGUCACCUCUUGGAGAUCCCACUUGCAUCAGAUAUCACAUGACUGAAAACUAGGUUUCAGUUAUAGUCAGUUAUUUUGAUGUAGGCUUUUCAAGACUGAAGUGAUCUCCUGGCUUAGCUACUAAGAAUGACUCCUCUAAGAAGGCUGGCAAUGCUGGAUGGGAAGUCCUCUUGUCCCUGAGGUCCCUUUACUGAGAUUCACUUGCUCCUUGGUGCACCUGCUUGUCUGUUGAGGUUUCCCAUUGUCUUCCAGGUUCCUUUGCCAUGACCCUCCUGUCUUCACUCUGUGCCUGAGAGGCCAUGCUGGUGGGCUGUAUGGCUCAGGCUUCCUUGCCUUCCAGCUUCUGGGUGAGCAGAGUCAGUGCGUGGUGCCAGGAGAAGAUAAGAGAGAGGAGGGAGUGAGACUGGUGCAUCGAUUGUCCCCUUCCUCCCUCUGACAGGAUUAGAAUCCAAAUCUACCUGAGCCCUGAUCCCAGAGCCCAGACAAAUAACCACUCUGGACCACCAUCCGGGUCCCUUCUGAGAUGGGGAAACUGAGGCUCCAUUUUGAUCCUGGCCUGCAGGCAGAUGCCACAGCUUCUGGGUGCAGGAGUGCCCGCCCCCCAUUCUGCCACGGCCGAGGACUGGAGAGCUCAGCAGUUGCCGCAGAACAUGUCUGCUCAUGGCUCACUAGAAACCCAAGUGCCAUUUCCACCUGAUAAUAAAUAUGUGUCAGAGAGGACUCGAUCUAUGUGACCUUGGGUUAUGGGGGCACCAGACCGUGAAAAGCCUUUGACAAAACCUUUUUGCCUCAAGAGGCUGAAUCCAAAUUACAGGCAAUUAUGGACGCUUGGCCUGACAUCCUCUCUUGGACUUUUCUUUCUCGAGCUCAGAAUGGCUCUUUUGUGUUGGGAAGGAUUCCGGCUGCCUCUGGAGAAGGCCACUCACCUCCCAUGGCAGGUCUGUCUCCUGGAGAGCUGGAGGUGAACCCCAGAGCUUCCUAGGAGCUCCUCUGAUAAUCAUGGCUGGUGAACCCAUUAACACAGCAAUGCCACCACCACCCAGGUGGCAUGGACCCGGAA